rnacentral:rRNA from 1 species
CCUACGGGCGGCUGCAGUGGGGAAUAUUGCACAAUGGGCGCAAGCCUGAUGCAGCCAUGCCGCGUGUGUGAAGAAGGCCUUCGGGUUGUAAAGCACUUUCAGCGGGGAGGAAGGCGGUGAGGUUAAUAACCUCAUCGAUUGACGUUACCCGCAGAAGAAGCACCGGCUAACUCCGUGCCAGCAGCCGCGGUAAUACGGAGGGUGCAAGCGUUAAUCGGAAUUACUGGGCGUAAAGCGCACGCAGGCGGUCUGUCAAGUCGGAUGUGAAAUCCCCGGGCUCAACCUGGGAACUGCAUUCGAAACUGGCAGGCUAGAGUCUUGUAGAGGGGGGUAGAAUUCCAGGUGUAGCGGUGAAAUGCGUAGAGAUCUGGAGGAAUACCGGUGGCGAAGGCGGCCCCCUGGACAAAGACUGACGCUCAGGUGCGAAAGAGUGGGGAGCAAACAGGAUUAGAUACCCGAGUAGUC